rnacentral:rRNA from 1 species
AGCAGUAGCCACGGUAAAACGAAGGGUGCAAGCGUUAAUCGGAAUUACUGGGCGUAAAGCGUGCGUAGGCGGUUUGUUAAGUCUGCUGUGAAAUCCCCGGGCUCAACCUGGGAAUGGCAGUGGAUACUGGCAAGCUAGAGUGUGUCAGAGGAUGGUGGAAUUCCCGGUGUAGCGGUGAAAUGCGUAGAGAUCGGGAGGAACAUCAGUGGCGAAGGCGGCCAUCUGGGACAACACUGACGCUGAGGCACGAAAGCGUGGGGAGCAAACAGGAUUAGAUACCCGUGUAGUCCCUGUCUCUUAUAC